rnacentral:misc_RNA from 1 species
GAUGAAGAACGUAGUGAAAUGCGAUAAGUAAUGCGAAUUGCAGAAUUCCGUGAGUCAUCGAAUCUUUGAACGCACAUUGCGCCCCCUGGUAUUCCGGGGGGCAUGCCUGUUCGAGCGUCAUUUCACCACUCAAGCCUCGCUUGGUAUUGGGCAACGCGGUCCGCCGCGUGCCUCAAAUCGUCCGGCUGGGUCUUCUGUCCCCUAAGCGUUGUGGAAACUAUUCGCUAAAGGGUGUUCGGGAGGCUACGCCGUAAAACAACCCCAUUUCUAAGGUUGACCUCGGAUCAGGUAGGGAUACCCGCUGAACUUAAGCAUAUCAAUAAGCGGAGGA